GUGCCAGCAGCCGCGGUAAUACGGAGGGUGCAAGCGUUGUCCGGAUUUAUUGGGUUUAAAGGGUGCGUAGGUGGCCUUAUAAGUCAGUGGUGAAAGCCUGCAGCUUAACUGUAGGACUGCCAUUGAUACUGUAGGGCUUGAGUAUUGAUGAGGUAGGCGGAAUUGAUAGUGUAGCGGUGAAAUGCAUAGAUAUUAUCAAGAACACCGAUUGCGAAGGCAGCUUACUAAGGAAUAACUGACACUGAGGCACGAAAGCGUGGGGAUCAAACAGGAUUAGAUACCCGAGUAGUCC
rnacentral:rRNA from 1 species